rnacentral:rRNA from 1 species
CAGCAGCCGCGGUAAAACGGAGGGUGCAAGCGUUAAUCGGAAUUACUGGGCGUAAAGCGUGCGUAGGCGGUUCGUUAAGUCUGUUGUGAAAGCCCCGGGCUCAACCUGGGAAUGGCAAUGGAUACUGGCGAGCUAGAGUGUGUCAGAGGAUGGUGGAAUUCCCGGUGUAGCGGUGAAAUGCGUAGAGAUCGGGAGGAACAUCAGUGGCGAAGGCGGCCAUCUGGGACAACACUGACGCUGAGGCACGAAAGCGUGGGGAGCAAACAGGAUUAGAUACCCCCGUAGUCCCUGUCUCUUAUAC